rnacentral:rRNA from 1 species
GACGUAGGGUGCGAGCGUUGUCCGGAUUUAUUGGGCGUAAAGAGCUCGUAGGCGGCUCGUCGCGUCGACCGUGAAAACCCACAGCUUAACUGUGGGCUUGCGGUUGAUACGGGCAAGCUAGAAUUCGGUAGGGGAGACUGGAAUUCCUGGUGUAGCGGUGAAAUGCGCAGAUAUCAGGAGGAACACCGGUGGCGAAGGCGGGUCUCUGGACAGUUCCUGACGCUGAGGCACGAAGGCCAGGGGAGCAAACGGG